CAGUCGCCGCGGGAAUACGGAGGGUGCAAGCGUUAUCCGGAUUUAUUGGGUUUAAAGGGUCCGUAGGCGGACUUAUAAGUCAGUGGUGAAAGCCUGUCGCUUAACGAUAGAACUGCCAUUGAUACUGUAAGUCUUGAGUAUAUUUGAGGUAGCUGGAAUAAGUAGUGUAGCGGUGAAAUGCAUAGAUAUUACUUAGAACACCAAUUGCGAAGGCAGGUUACCAAGAUAUAACUGACGCUGAGGGACGAAAGCGUGGGUAGCGAACAGGAUUAGAUACCCCAGUAGUCCCUGUCUCUUAUAA
rnacentral:rRNA from 1 species